rnacentral:rRNA from 1 species
GAUGAACGCUAGCUACAGGCUUAACACAUGCAAGUCGAGGGGAAACGGCAUUGAGUGCUUGCACUCUUUGGACGUCGACCGGCGCACGGGUGAGUAACGCGUAUCCAACCUUCCCAUUACUGUGGGAUAACCUGCCGAAAGGCAGACUAAUACCGCAUAGUCUUCGAUGACGGCAUCAGAUUUGAAGUAAAGAUUUAUCGGUAAUGGAUGGGGAUGCGUCUGAUUAGCUUGUUGGCGGGGUAACGGCCCACCAAGGCUACGAUCAGUAGGGGUUCUGAGAGGAAGGUCCCCCACAUUGGAACUGAGACACGGUCCAAACUCCUACGGGAGGCAGCAGUGAGGAAUAUUGGUCAAUGGACGGAAGCCUGAACCAGCCAAGUAGCGUGCAGGAUGACGGCCCUAUGGGUUGUAAACUGCUUUUGGAUGGGGAUAAAGUUAGGGACGUGUCCCUAUUUGCAGGUACCAUACGAAUAAGGACCGGCUAAUUCCGUG